rnacentral:tRNA from 3 species
GGGCGCAUAGCUCAGUUGGUACGAGCGCUGCGUUGACAUCGCAGAGGUCAUAGGUUCGAUCCCUAUUGCGCCCACCA